rnacentral:rRNA from 1 species
AUUUGGAGAGGAUGCUUCUGGCGCGGCGCCGUCCGAGUUCCUUGGAACAGGACGCCAUAGAGGGUGAGAGCCCCGUACGGGCGGACGCCUAGCCUUUGUGAAGCUCCUUCGACGAGUCGAGUAGUUUGGGAAUGCUGCUCAAAAUGGGAGGUAAAUUUCUUCUAAAGCUAAAUACCGGCCAGAGACCGAUAGCGCACAAGUAGAGUGAUCGAAAGAUGAAAAGCACUUUGAAAAGAGGGUUAAAAAGUACGUGAAAUUGUUGAAAGGGAAGCGCCUGUGACCAGACUUGCUGCCCGCGGAUCAUCCGGCGUUCUUCGCCGGUGCACUCCGCGGGUGGCAGGCCAGCAUCGGUUCUCCUAGGGGGUUAAAGGUCGCGGGAACGUGGCUCCUUCGGGAGUGUUAUAGCCCGCGGCGUCAUGCCUCUGGGGGGACCGAGGACCGCGCUUCGGCAAGGAUGCUGGCGUAAUGGUCACCGGCGACCCGUCUUGAAACACGGACCAAGGAGUCAAGCAUUGGGGCGAGUGUCUGGGUGCCAAACCCGCACGCGAAAUGAAAGUAAACGCAGGUGAGAGCUUCGGCGCAUCACCGACCGAUCCUGAUGUCUUCGGAUGGAUUUGAGUAAGAGCCUUACCGCUUGGACCCGAAAGAUGGUGAACUAUGCCUGUAUAGGGUGAAGCCAGAGGAAACUCUGGUGGAGG